CCUACGGGAGGCAGCAGUGAGGAAUAUUGGUCAAUGGACGCAAGCCUGAACCAGCCAUGCCGCGUGAAGGAAGAAGGCUCUAUGAGUUGUAAACUGCUUUUGUACGGGGAUAAACGGAGGAACGUGUUCCUGUUUGUAAGUAUCAUAUGAAUAAGGAUCGGCUAACUCCGUGCCAGCAGCCGCGGUAAUACGGAGGAUGCAAGCGUUAUCCGGAUUUAUUGGGUUUAAAGGGUGCGUAGGUGGUUAGUUAAGUUAGCGGUGAAAUUCUGUGGCUCAACUUUAGAAUUGCCGUUGAUACUGGUUGACUUGAGUGUAUUUGAGGUAGGCGGAAUGUGUGGUGUAGCGGUGAAAUGCGUAGAGAUCACGCAGAACACCGAUUGCGAAGGCAGCUUACUAAGCUAUAUCUGACGCUGAGGCACGAAAGCGUGGGGAGCAAACAGGAUUAGAUACCCGAGUAGUC
rnacentral:rRNA from 1 species